UGGGUGGUUCAGGAACAACUGGAACACUGAAAACCCAAGAACAGGAGAAUGGAAGAGGUGUUUGUGAAGUCAGCAGAAACUAACCACGGAAGGUAGCUGAACAUUGCAAUCUAUGGGCUUGGGAGAUAUGCCAGAAAAGAAAGCCCAGGCUCAAAUAGUAGAAAACUAGUCUGAGGAAUUUUAAAUUUAUCUUCCGUCUUGAGGAGCCUGAAAGUUUUGAGCACGACAGAGAAUAAUCCUAUCUAUGCUUCAGGAAGUUUGACCAUCUAUUGGACUUGAAUCUGAAUUGCUCCAGUUUGGUUCCAAAAAUAAAUGUACUUUCAUGGAAAAGUAAUUUGCCACCAGAAGAGGAUAUGCAAAAGAAUAUGUACAUUUUCCAAAAAUGAUUUAAGAAACAGCAUUGUUAUCCAAAUAAGUGUAUAUCCUCCUAGGGAAUCUACUCUGAGAGAGACUGUUCAGAAGUAUUAUUUGCGACAUUGUUUCCUUAACAUCCUGACACAGUACAACAGAAGUAACUCAAUAGAGUUAUAGAAUGAUAUAUUUUACAAGGAAGAAAGUACUCUCUAGAUUUUCAAAUCAAGUCUUCUACUUUUACAAGUAAGGAAAGGGAAGAGUUAGACAACCUAAGUUUGAAGCAUUUGAGGCCUUCAUAGGACCACAUUGAAUCUCACCUCCCAGCCAGGUAUGGCAGAAAUGCUUACUAUUCAUUUAGUAACCCUGUGUCCCUCCAAUUUCACAUCUUCUUUGGAAUUGGGCAGACCACAUGACCAGUUCUGAUGAAUGUGCUAGGAUGUUAGAAGUGGUGCGCAUCAGUUGAUUGAUGUACUCGAAAGUCAAAGUACAAUCUCCCAGGCUGCUCAUUCCCUGCUGCAGUGAACUAGAACCAUGUGUUCAGGAUGGCCUAGUCACAUGCCAAAGGCAGCCUUAGAUCCCUGAAGAAAAGCUGUAAUGAAGGGACCUAGGAGAACCACUGGACUAACAGCACACUUGGGAUGUGUCAAAAGUCAACUUUUUAUCUGUUAAUCCACUGAAAUCUCAGGAUUGCUUUAAUUACUGCAACUUGGCAUAACCAAUAGUGACACACUGUGUAACAUCAGAUGAGUAAAUAAAUGGUGUGAGUCUAAGUUUUUUGUUGCUCUUUGAUUUUUAUGGAAUUGCAAUCGACUUAC